rnacentral:rRNA from 1 species
UACGGGGGGAGCAAGCGUUGUUCGGAUUUACUGGGCGUAAAGCGCGCGUAGGCGGACCUGCAGGUCGGGGGUGAAAGCCCGAGGCUCAACCUCGGAACUGCCUUCGAUACUGCGGGUCUCGAGUCCGGGAGAGGUGAGUGGAAUUCCUAGUGUAGAGGUGAAAUUCGUAGAUAUUAGGAAGAACACCAGUGGCGAAGGCGGCUCACUGGCCCGGUACUGACGCUGAGGCGCGAAAGCGUGGGGAGCAAACAGG